rnacentral:rRNA from 1 species
UACGGAGGGGGCUAGCGUUGUUCGGAUUUACUGGGCGUAAAGGGCGCGUAGGCGGCAGAUCAAGUCAGCUGUGAAAUCUCCGAGCUUAACUCGGAACUGUCAGCUGAUACUGUUUUGCUAGAGUGCGGAAGGGGCAAUCGGAAUUCUUGGUGUAGCGGUGAAAUGCGUAGAUAUCAAGAGGAACACCUGAGGUGAAGACGGGUUGCUGGGCCGACACUGACGCUGAGUGCGCGAAAGCCAGGGGAGCAAACGGA